GCAUCAUGUUGCGGGGGUGCUUUGCGGGGGUGCAAAAACAAAACACUACAGGUAGGAGGUGUCAUAUGGUGAGUAGUAUAGUUUUAAACUAAUGUUUAAAGACUUAACCCAUCCACCACCUCUCAUAUGAUGUGUAUAUCAUAUAUUUCAGGUUGAUGUAGAAGAUUUCUCCCCCAAGAAGUCACAGCAUGUCACAUCAGCAUCCAGCUCUGCAGGAUCAGAUACUGUAUAGGCUAUUAGCUAAAACGAUACUGAAAACUAAAUGCACGGCCAACUGGGAGCUGUGAACUGGGAAGCAGAUGUUCUUCUAAGGGACACCCUGGAGGCAGCAAUUUGGUGCGAACGUCAAACAUUUAAAGGCACUGUUUCCCUCCCUAGUGUAAUUGGGAUGGACGGGGUAGACCGCAUUACAACCCUUAAAGAACUACAGUUGUAUAAUGGCCUGGAUGAAGAGGAACAUAUUAUCCUCAAGGAACCAUUCAUGUUCCAGUUACAGAGAGAUUGAGAUGUUCUAUGUGGAGGCAGUUGACAACAAGAAAAUUACUGUCUUUGCCUCUUGUGAGGAGCAGGAGUGAAGCCAUUUUUGAGGAGUGGUAAAACCUUGUUUUUUUCUGCUGUGUUAAUUGUGUUAUGUUGUUUAGUAAAGUUGACGUAGAAUUCAA